UACGGAGGGUGCGAGCGUUGUCCGGAAUCACUGGGCGUAAAGGGCGCGUAGGUGGCGCGGGAAGUCAACGGUGAAAGUUCGGGGCUCAACCCUGAAUCGGCCGUCGAUACUCCCGGGCUCGAGCACUGUAGAGGCAGAUGGAAUUCCGGGUGUAGCGGUGGAAUGCGUAGAGAUCCGGAAGAACACCGGUGGCGAAGGCGGUCUGCUGGGGCAGUUGCUGACACUGAUGCGCGACAGCGUGGGGAGCAAACAGG
rnacentral:rRNA from 1 species